GCCAAUACUGCCAGGAUGGAUGUGAAUCAAAGGCUCAAGACAAAGAAUACCUCUCUAAAUGGCAGAAAAAGUGUCCAUUUCCAAAUGAUUUCUGUUUUAGCAGGAAUCAAAGCCUCGAGAGAAAGAACACCUCUCUAAAUAGCAGAGUGUCUACCACCAUCAGCAAAAGCUACAGUGUACAGGGCUUUACGUACCAGGCACUGUUCAAAGUAGUCAGCCUGUAUUCAUUCACGUAAUUCUCACGACGGCUCCAUGAGAGAGGAAUAAGCGCUUCAUUUAGAGAUGGAGAAACUGAGGCACAACGGAGCUAAGUUGCUGGCCCAGUUCACACAGCUGGGAGUAGCCAGGUCAGGACUCCAAUCCAGGCAAAGCAGAGAGAAAAAUACUGGUGAGGAGGAGGGAGGAGGAAGUGGGACGUUCCAGCUGAGGAGAGGUCUUUUUUCCUUAAUCUGAUGUUAGGGGCCACCCAAGCACUGGGGCCAGACGCCCACCAUGGCUCUGCGCAUUUGCUGGUUUGGUGAUCUGAGGACAUCUGUUGCUUCUUGUCCUCUGGUUUAACAGUUACAAGUGUACAGGAGCAUGUGGGCCAAGCAUCCCGCGUGCGGACGUGAUCUGGCUUGGCCUGCAGGCCUGCUCUUUCAUGCCAGGCUGCAAUUUUUUGAGAUUACUCAACCUUCGGAAGGGAAGCUGGGCCAAGGACAGACCUUUGGUGAGAAGCAGGGGGAGUUUAGAGAAUCAGCCCUCCUCCUCCUCCUCCUCCCAGCCUCCUCCCCCAGGAGACUCGGACUUGGAAACACCCAGCAGGGAAAAUUGCUGCAGCAGCAGGUAGCAGUUAUUAUGGGACCUGGACCGCCCCUUCCAGGCCCAGCUGUUCUCUGGGAAAGCCUGGCGGCAGCUCUCACACCCUCUUCCAAAUGGUCUUCAGAGGGAGACGGAGAUGCUCCUCGCCCCGCCUGUUGAUCUUCACCACUGCAACCUCCUGUGUCCCAGGCAUGGUCAGCUUGCAGCCCUGGGGGCGGCUUCUGGUGUUCUGGUGAACUGGUUAACUGGGCACUGGCAUAGAUAGCCUGGGUUUCUCAUCCUGGUUCACGUGCUUACCAGCUGUGUGAUAUCGGGUGAGUCAUCUAAUCAUUCAGAACCUCAGUUUCCUCAUCUGUAAAGUGGGGAGAACAAUAGCAUUGACCAUAGGUUACUGUGAGGAUUAGACAGGGGAGGGAGCAGAGCAGUUAGCACAGGGCCUGUGCAUGAAUUAUGAUCAAACUAGGCCUAACUUGCCCAGGCCCCGCCCCAUGUUUUUGCUAUUCUGGGCUUCCAGAUGGUGUGCCUCUUUCACUGGGUACUCUUCUGUGACAUUUGUUUCUGCACAGAGGUAUUGAGGAUGGAGAUAACCUAAGCCUGGAGUGGUCGUCUUUGGUGACAGUGGCAAUUGUUCCACCCAGGAAAGAAAGGAAGAAAGA
rnacentral:lncRNA from 10 species